rnacentral:rRNA from 2 species
UAAGCGGAGGAAAAGAAACUAACAAGGAUUCCCCUAGUAACGGCGAGUGAACCGGGAAGAGCUCAAAUUUGAAAUCUGGCGUGCUCAGUGCGUCCGAGUUGUAAUCUAUAGAGACGUUUUCCGUGCCGGACCGUGUCCAAGUCCCUUGGAACAGGGUAUCAAAGAGGGUGACAAUCCCGUACUUGACACGACGACCGGUGCUCUGUGAUACGUCUUCUACGAGUCGAGUUGUUUGGGAAUGCAGCUCAAAAUGGGUGGUGAGUUCCAUCUAAAGCUAAAUAUUGGCGAGAGACCGAUAGCGAACAAGUACCGUGAGGGAAAGAUGAAAAGCACUUUGGAAAGAGAGUUAAACAGUACGUGAAAUUGUUGAAAGGGAAACGAUUGAAGUCAGUCGUGACUGAGAGGCUCAGCCGGUUCUGCCGGUCUAUUCCCCUCAGUCGGGUCAACAUCAGUUUUGUCCGGUGGAUAAGGGCAGCAGGAAGGUGGCACCCUCGGGUGUGUUAUAGCCUGUUGUCGCAUACAUCGGAUGAGACUGAGGAAUGCAGCUCGCCUUUAUGGCCGGGGUUCGCCCACGUCCGAGCUUAGGAUGUUGACAUAAUGGCUUUAAACGACCCGUCUUGAAACACG